UUCUCCCCUCUGCUAUUGGGAUUGCGAUCGCGAUCCCACGGGCGAUCCCACAGGCAAUCGCGAUCGCGAUCCUGCGGCUGAUCCCACGAUCGAUCUCCCUCGCAAUCCCACGAACCCGCAGGUGAUGGCGAUCGCGAGCUGCGAGCGGGAUCGCGAUCGCGAUCUUCUUCUCCACAACGAUCGCAGCGGAUAACAGCGAACGCGAUCUUCUUCUCCACAGCAAUCUUUCUUGAAUUCAUUCUUUUUUUCGGAUCUGCAAGUAUUAUCUGUUUCUCUUUUUUUGUUUCCAGUUGGUUCUAAAUAGGACAAGCAGUCGCGAUCACGAUCUUCUUCUCCACAACGAUCAUGGGGGAUAACAACAAUCGCGAUCUUCUUCUCCUCAGCGAUCUUUCUUGAAUUCAUUCUUUGUUUUGGAUCUAUUUGAUCACAUGUUUUGCUGGAGUAGUGGAGAUUAUGUUGGAGAUUAACAUCUCCACAAACUAUCUUAUUAAAUAUAUUUUUUCAGCCAACAUCUCUUUAACAAAAGAAUGUAAUUUAUCAAGAUUCCCAUGUUACACAUAAUCCUUUCAUUCUUUAUCUCUGGUUUCUCACAAAUAGUGCAACAUUCUUUUGUUAAUGAUGUUUGUCUCAUUUUGUGGUGAUCUACA